rnacentral:lncRNA from 1 species
AUAAGGAUAGGAUAAAAAACACAGAGGGAAGAAAGCCUAAAGACAAAGCAAGUAUUAGCAUAGCAUAUAUACAAUGCAGAGAUCUAUGUACAAAGAGAAUACCUAUAAAUAUAAUGUUGGAAACCAUAAUAAAUAAACAACACAAGAGUAACAUUUAACAAUGUGUAGACAAAGUAUUGUAUGUUUUUUUUUUUCUAAAAGAGCACCAUUGAUUUUAGUUAUCAAUUUAUUGCUGGGCAUGAGAUUCUCAGCCCCAUUAGUGUAGAUUGUAACUCAUUGAAACUCUCCUUUUUUUUGGGAAUGUUUGUCAGUUAGACAUAAGUUCAUGGUUGAGGAUGGAGUGAAACUGUUCCCUUCUUUUUUUAUCAGAUCUAGAAUGCUUUCUGGAUUUGUGUUGUAUAGCCCUGUGAACGUUGCCAUGGUCUUUGUGAGUUCAUAUAUGAGUCAGUUCUGUUGUAUCUAGAAGGCAUUUUAUUCUUUAUGUUAACCAUCUACAGUAGGUUUUAAUUUCAUUUCUAAAAUAAUUCCUAAAUUAUUUCUUUACCAUAAGAACAUUGUAAUAUCAUCCACACUAAUUUGGAAUAUUGCUUUAUCAGGGCUAUAACCCAUCAUAUACAUAUUUAACAGAAGGGGCUUUUUGAAGGGCACUUAAAUAGAAAUAAAGAUCGGAUCCAGUCUCAUCAUUCAUGAAUGUAGUCAUUGGGAAAAGUGGCACAGGGAGAUUCCAGGGUCAUCAGGGUGCUAUUCUUGGAAGCCCACAGUUAGAAACAGAAGGACUCAAACAGAAAUGGUUACUUUCUAGUAAUUAGCCAGUAUUAAACUCUAUGAAUUAAAAUACAUGCUUAGCCCCAAGGCACCAUUAGCUGAUUUUGUCUGUUGUCAGUUAGACCCAGAGCACAAGGUGAUUGAUAUUUGUUCAUCUCUCCUUUGACUUUUCUUUAUUCUGCUAUAACACACAGUGAAACUGUACCAUUAAUGGAGAUAUUAUUUAAUGGAUGUUUAUUUUCCACUCCUGGGUUUAUGCUAACUCUCCUUGUCUUUUUCUGUUGAUUGGUCAUUAUUGCAUUAUUUAUUUCAAUUCACACACUCAGGCAACCAGAGCCAACCACAUUAAUGUGAGUCCAAGCACAAAGUGGUUUUGACAGUCUCCUACAUGAGGUUCUACUCUCAGCUGCUUCAAGCCUCUAGCAAAGGACUUGACUACAAAUUUUUCUAAGGUGAGGUGCUCAUGAGAUCUGUAGUUAUAUAACACCAAUGGAAUCAUGUGAUUAACAAGAUACUUUUGUGUUCCCCACCUUUGUCCUGAGAGUAAUUUUGCACCUGUUUCAUCUCUUGGGGCUUUGUUCCUCAUAUGAGAUUACUGAUUGUGUUUUAGGUAUGUUACUCACAACUCAGGUUUGGUGUCCAGCUUAGUAAAGAAUGAGAUAAACAUGGCUCAUCUUCAUUGUUUCACUUCAGCCUUCUGAAGCUGAUUGAAAUGGAAGAACUUUUGUUAUACUUUUUUGAUAGCAACAUCUAUAAAAUGUUAAGGUUUGGUGAUAUAGAGGUCGUCUUACUGAUGAUACUUAUAUGAUGAGGACACAGAGAGAAAGAAUGCAGAUUAGGAAGGUGAAGGUUACAAACUUUCAUCUGACAAAAAAAGUAAUAUAGAAGGAGC